rnacentral:rRNA from 1 species
AUGGAGCUCAACUUUGCCUCGUAUGUGUCCAUUGUUCUCUUGGUCCUCUCCGGCACGUACGUCUACUGCGCGACACGGAGCCGGUCGCCGCUGCGGCUCCCGCCCUCGCCGCCCGGGUGGCCUGUGAUCGGCCACCUCCACCUGAUGACGGACAUGCCCCACCACGCACUCGCAGAGCUGGCCAGGAGCAUGCGCGCUCCGCUCCUCCGGCUUCAGCUCGGGAGCAUCCCGGCCGUGGUGAUCUCCAAGCCCGACCUGGCGCGCGAGGCGCUCACCACCAACGACGCGGCAAUGGCGUCCCGGCCACACCUCCUCUCCGGGCAGUUCCUCUCGUUCGGCUGCUCCGACGUGACGUUCGCGCCGGCGGGGGCCUACCACCGGAUGGUGCGGAGGGUGGUGGUCUCCGACCUCGUCUCGCCUCGCCGAGUGGCCACCUACGGAAGCUUCCGGGACGAGGAGCUCCGCCGCCUCCUCGCGCACCUCACGGAGAGCGCCUCGACGACGGAGACCUCCGUCAACCUCAGCAAGUGCCUCCUCAACCUGGCCAACGAUGUGCUCUGCCGCAUCGCCUUUGGCCGCCGGUUUCCGCACGGCAAGGACGACAAGCUCGCCGCGGUGCUCGCCGAGUCGCAAGACCUCUAUGCCGGAUUCGCCAUAGGCGACUUCUUCCCGGAGUUGGAGCCUCUCGCGAGCACCCUGACGGGACUCCGCCGCCGGCUGAAGAGCUGCCUGGCCGACCUCCGCGAGGUCUGUGACGAAAUCAUCGAGGAGCACAUCAGCGGCCAACGCCAGCGCAUCCCCGGCGACCGAGACGAGGACUUUGUCGACGUCCUCCUCCGCGCCCAGAAGGCGGCCGAUCUAAAAGUCCCACUCACCGACGACAACCUCAAAUCCAUCGUCUUGGACAUAUUCAUCGCCGGCACAGACACGACGUUUGCGACGAUAGAGUGGACGAUGACAGAGUUGAUGCGCCACCCACGCAUCCUAAGAAAAGCGCAGGACGAGGUCCGGUGGGUCGUGGGUGCCAAGGGUCAGGUGGAAGAGUCGGACCUCGUUGAGCUCCACUACAUGCGCGCCAUCAUCAAGGAGACCUUCCGUUUGCACCCGGUGGUUCCGCUGCUUGUGCCUCGGGAGUCCAUUGUCGCAUGCACCCUUGGCGGCUAUGACAUCCCGGGCAAGACCCGCAUCUUUAUCAACACUUUUGCCAUGGGUCGGGACCCGGAGAUUUGGGAGGACCCACUAGAGUACUGGCCAGAACGGUUCGAGAUCGCCGGCGGUGAGAUCGACCUCAAGGACCGGGACUAUAAGCUGAUGCCGUUUGGCGGUGGUCGGAGAGGGUGCCCAGGCUACACGUUCGCACUACCCACUGUGCAGUUAACGCUGGCCAAACUGAUGUAUCACUUCGAGUGGGCCCUGCCAGAGGGCGUGCGCGCUGAGGACAUCAGUGUAGAAGAGAGCUUUGGGUUAGCCACAAAGAAGAAGGAGCCGCUCUUCGUUGCCGUCAGGAAAAGCGACAUGUAUGAGUUUAAGGGGGAGUAA